rnacentral:rRNA from 1 species
UACGGGGGGGGUAAGCGUUGUUCGGAAUUACUGGGCGUAAAGGGCUCGUAGGCGGCCAACUAAGUCAUACGUGAAAUCCCUCAGCUUAACUGGGGAACUGCGUGUGAUACUGGAUGGCUUGGAUUUGGGAGAGGGAUGCGGAAUUCCAGGUGUAGCGGUGAAAUGCGUAGAUAUCUGGAGGAACACCGGUGGCGAAGGCGACUCUUUGGCCUGUAACUGACGCUGAGGCGCGAAAGCGUGGGGAGCAAACAGG